rnacentral:lncRNA from 1 species
UUUGUCUGAUUUGUAAAGCUAUUACUAAUUUGUAUAUUUCCAGAAAUUAGGAAGUUAAAUUAGGAAUGUGCAGUCCUAUAAAUUAACCCUAUUGUACUGGCUGUUAGAGGUACUUAAAAAUAAGAAAAGAUAUUUAUUCUUCUCCUCUGUUAACAUGGUAUCAGAGCUAUGGCAGAAUUAAGCCUGGCUUGACUCCCAUACGGAUCUGUUCAUUGUCUUGUUGUAAUGGUGCAAAACACCAUGCCUGGGGUUACAGUAACUGGUGAUACCAAUUCCACUGCUACAUCUACUGGAAUUGGUGCAGGGGAGUUUCUUCCAUUGGGAUCUGGAAACUUGAACGGAAGUGAGAGUUUUCCCAUGCAAUUAACCGGUCACAAAUUGAACGGUAAGAACUAUCUAGAAUGGGCGCAAUCCAUUAAGUUGGUGGUCGAUGGCAAGGGUAGACUUGGCUACAUCACCGGUGAGACGAAGGAGCCGGAAAAAACUGAUCCAACAUGGAAGACUUGGAAAUCGGAAAAUUCCCUAGUUAUGUCCUGGUUGAUCAAUUCCAUGGAGGUUUCUAUUGGGAGGACGUAUUUGUUUCUUCCCACCGCAAAGGAUGUAUGGGAUGCAGUUCGAGAAACGUAUUCUGAUCUAAAAAAUUCAUCACAGAUUUUUGAAUUGAAAACAAGACUAUGGCAGACUAGGCAAGGUGAUCGUGCUGUUUCUGAGUAUUACAACGAGAUGAAGGCCUUAUGGCAGGAGCUUGAUCUCUGCUAUGAAGAUGAUUGGGCCUGUAUGACAGAUAGUGUUCGUUAUUUAAAACGAAUUGAAGAUGAUCGUGUUUAUGAAUUUUUGGCAGGUUUGAAUAAGAGCCUUGAUGAAGUGAGAGGCCGGAUUCUUGGCAGAAUUCCUUUGCCAUCAAUCCGGGAAGUAUUUUCAGAAGUACGACGAGAGGAAGGUCGACGCAAAGUGAUGUUAGGAGAAAAAACUGUAUCUGCUCCAGAAAUUUCAGCCCUAAUGACAGGGACUAAUCACAAUAAUUCCCCAUACCAGGCACGACAGAACAAGAAAGGAGAAAAGGUGUGGUGUGAUCACUGCCACAAACCACGUCACACUAGGGAGACUUGCUGGGAUUUACACGGAAAACCUCCUAAUUGGAAGCCACGAAAUUUUAGUCAGUCAAACCGUGACUCAAAGGCCUUCCACUCAGCCACUGAGGAGAAUGGAAACACUGCAACUACAGCUACGACACCUUCAUUCAGUAAGGAACAGUUAGAACAACUGUAUAAACUUUUUCAGUCCACACAAGUGACUAAUCCAGUAUCUUCUUCUUGUUCCUUAGCCCAAAAAGGUACUUAUCAAUCUGCUGUCUUUAAUGUGUCCACUAUUCCUCUUUGUCCAUGGAUAAUAGAUUCAGGUGCCACCGAUCAUAUGACUGGAUGCUCUAAAUUAUUUUCUUUCUAUAGUCCUUGUGCAGGCAAUCAAAAAAUUAAGAUUGCUGAUGGCUCCCUCUCGGCAAUUGCUGGGAAAGGGUCAAUUGUUAUCUCUAAUACUCUCGUUCUUCACGGUGUCCUUCAUGUUCCAAAUCUCUCUUCUAAUCUUUUGUCUGUAAGUAAAAUAACUCGUGAUUUAAAGUGCUGUGCUAAAUUUCUUCCAAAUUGUUGUGAAUUUCAGGAACUGGAUACGGGGAGGAUGAUUGGCAAUGCUAGAGAGUAUGGCGGUCUCUAUUACUUUGAUGAUGGGAACUCUAUGUGUCAGCAACAGAAAAUUUCGAAUCUCGGAGCAUGCUUUAGUUCUACUGAUGAUAAAAUAAUGCUAUGGCACCGUAGGUUAGGCCAUCCUAGCUUUUUAUAUUUAAAACAUUUGUUUCCAAACUUAUUUCGUAAUAAACUUUUAUUGUCUUUUCAAUGCGAUAUUUGUCAGUUAGCUAAACACCAUCGUGCAUCUUUUCCUAUUCAACCAUAUAAAGCAUCCAAGCCUUUUACCCUUAUUCAUAGUGAUGUGUGGGGUCCCUCUAGGACAUUCACCAAUUCUGGAAAAAGAUGGUUUAUAACAUUUAUUGAUUUAGAACAACUGUAUAAACUUUUUCAGUCCACACAAGUGACUAAUCCAGUAUCUUCUUCUUGUUCCUUAGCCCAAAAAGGUACUUAUCAAUCUGUUGUCUUUAAUGUGUCCACUAUUCCGCUUUGUCUAUGGAUAAUAGUUUCAGGUGCCACCGAUCAUAUGACUGGAUGCUCUAAAUUAUUUUCUUUCUAUAGUCCUUGUGCAGGCAAUCAAAAAAUUAAGAUUGCUGAUGGCUCCCUCUCGGCAAUUGCUGGGAAAGGGUCAAUUGUUAUCUCUAAUACUCUCGUUCUUCACGAUGUCCUUCAUGUUCCAAAUCUCUCUUGUAAUCUUUUGUCUGUAAGUAAAAUAACUCGUGAUUUAAAGUGCUGUGCUAAAUUUCUUCCAAAUUGUUGUGAAUUUCAGGAACUGGAUACGGGGAGGAUGAUUGGCAAUGCUAGAGAGUAUGGCGGUCUCUAUUACUUUGAUGAUGGGAACUCUAUGUGUCAGCAACAGAAAAUUUCGAAUCUCGGAGCAUGCUUUAGUUCUACUGAUGAUAAAAAAAUGCUAUGGCACCGUAGGUUAGGCCAUCCUAGCUUUUUAUAUUUAAAACAUUUGUUUCCAACCUUAUUUCGUAAUAAACUUUUAUUGUCUUUUCAAUGCGAUAUUUGUCAGUUAGCUAAACACCAUCGUGCAUCUUUUCCUAUUCAACCAUAUAAAGCAUCCAAGCCUUUUACCCUUAUUCAUAGUGAUGUGUGGGGUCCCUCUAGGACAUUCACCAAUUCUGGAAAAAGAUGGUUUAUAACAUUUAUUGAUGACCAUACACGCCUAAGUUGGGUCUACCUACUCAAAGAAAAAUCUGAAGCAGAACAUGUUUUUAAAAACUUUUAUAAUAUGGUUGAAACACAAUUUCAAACAAAAAUUCAAGUGUUUCGAAGUGAUAAUGGGAAGGAAUACUUUAAUCAAAUAUUGGGGUCAUUUUUCUUAGAAAAAGGAAUUGUUCAUCACAGCUCUUGUAAUGACACUCCUCAACAAAACGGAAUAGCAGAACGGAAAAAUAAGCACCUCCUAGAAGUAGCUAGGUCUUUAAUGUUCACCACUAAAGUUCCUAAAUACUUAUGGGGGGAAGCAAUUCUUACUGCUACAUAUCUUAUUAAUAGGAUGCCAUCAAGAGUUUUGAACUUUCAGCCACCAUUGACAGUUUUUGUCCAUGGAUAAUAGAUUCAGGUGCCACCGAUCAUAUGACUGGAUGCUCUAAAUUAUUUUCUUUCUAUAGUCCUUGUGCAGGCAAUCAAAAAAUUAAGAUUGCUGAUGGCUCCCUCUCGGCAAUUGCUGGGAAAGGGUCAAUUGUUAUCUCUAAUACUCUCGUUCUUCACGGUGUCCUUCAUGUUCCAAAUCUCUCUUCUAAUCUUUUGUCUGUAAGUAAAAUAACUCGUGAUUUAAAGUGCUGUGCUAAAUUUCUUCCAAAUUGUUGUGAAUUUCAGGAACUGGAUACGGGGAGGAUGAUUGGCAAUGCUAGAGAGUAUGGCGGUCUCUAUUACUUUGAUGAUGGGAACUCUAUGUGUCAGCAACAGAAAAUUUCGAAUCUCGGAGCAUGCUUUAGUUCUACUGAUGAUAAAAAAAUGCUAUGGCACCGUAGGUUAGGCCAUCCUAGCUUUUUAUAUUUAAAACAUUUGUUUCCAACCUUAUUUCGUAAUAAACUUUUAUUGUCUUUUCAAUGCGAUAUUUGUCAGUUAGCUAAACACCAUCGUGCAUCUUUUCCUAUUCAACCAUAUAAAGCAUCCAAGCCUUUUACCCUUAUUCAUAGUGAUGUGUGGGGUCCCUCUAGGACAUUCACCAAUUCUGGAAAAAGAUGGUUUAUAACAUUUAUUGAUGACCAUACACGCCUAAGUUGGGUCUAUUUACUCAAAGAAAAAUCUGAAGCAGAACAUGUUUUUAAAAACUUUUAUAAUAUGGUUGAAACACAAUUUCAAACAAAAAUUCAAGUGUUUCGAAGUGAUAAUGGGAAGGAAUACUUUAAUCAAAUAUUGGGGUCAUUUUUCUUAGAAAAAGGAAUUGUUCAUCACAGCUCUUGUAAUGACACUCCUCAACAAAACGGAAUAGCAGAACGGAAAAAUAAGCACCUCCUAGAAGUAGCUAGGUCUUUAAUGUUCACCACUAAAGUUCCUAAAUACUUAUGGGGGGAAGCAAUUCUUACUGCUACAUAUCUUAUUAAUAGGAUGCCAUCAAAGUUUUGAACUUUCAGCCACCAUUGACAGUUUUUAAAAAAUUCUUUCCAAUGACACGUUUGACUUCAGAUUUACCUUUAAAGGUCUUUGGAUGUGUUGCCUUUGUACAUAUACACAAUCAUAAUAGGGAUAAACUAGAUCCAAAGGCUGUAAAAUGUGUUUUUCUGGGCUACUCUCCUACUCAAAAAGGGUAUAAAUGUUUUGAUCCUAACAAACAAAAAUAUUUUGUCACGAUGGAUGUUACCUUCCUGCAGUCUCAAAGUUUUUUUAAUCCUCCUCUUCGGGGGGGGAAAGGAAAUGAAGACUCGAUGUUUGAGCUUGACAUGAAUACUAAUGGUGAGGCAAUUAUUGAAACUGAAAUUUUUAAUCCUAAUACCUUGAAUAAGGAGGAUAGGAGGAUUACCUUAGUGCCUGAACAUAAAACUGACACUACGAUAAUAGACGAGACACGCUUCAAUGAUGAGAGAUUGUUCGGGAAAACUUACACUAGGGAGAAACGGAUUCAAUCCUCUAGAUCUUCCCAUUGCUCUUAGGAAAGAAAUUAGAUCAUGUACUCAACAUCCCCUUUCCAAUUUUGUGUCUUAUAAGAACCUGUCAUCAUCUUAUCAUACUUUUGUCUCACAAUUGUCAAGUGUGGAUAUACCUAAGUCUAUACAGGAAGCGCUAAAGGUUCCUGAAGGGAAGAAGGCUGUUCGUGAAGAAAUGGAGUCUCUAGAAAAAAACAGAACGUGGGAGAUGGUUUAUUUGCCUGAAGGAAAAUUGAUUGUUGGUUGCAAGUGGAUUUUCACUGUGAAAUACAACUCAGAUGGAUCCUUGGAACGCUAUAAAGCAAGGUUAGUAGCAAAAGGAUUCACACAGACCUACGGAGUUGAUUAUCAAGAGACAUUUGCUCCCGUAGCCAAACUAAAUACCAUUCGAAUACUACUCUCUGUAGCUGUUAAUUUGGAGUGGCCAUUGUUUCAAUUGGAUGUUAAAAAUGCGUUUCUCAAUGGAGAAUUGGAAGAGGAAGUAUAUAUGGGUGCGCCCCCUGGUUUUGAAGACAAGUUUGGAGGAAAGGUGUGUAAAUUGAAGAAAUCCCUUUAUGGACUGAAGCAGUCUCCUCGUGCUUGGUUCGAGAGAUUUACCAGGUUUGUUAGAAAAGAAGGAUAUAGUCAAGGACAAUCUGAUCAUACAAUGUUCGUGAAACACACAGAUGGUGCAAAGAUGGCUGUCCUGAUUGUAUACGUAGACGACAUAAUACUCACUGGAAGCGAUGAUGAUGAGAUGAGUAGGUUGAAGAAGCACCUGGCAUCAGAAUUUGAAAUUAAGGAUUUGGGUCCCUUACGCUAUUUCCUGGGUAUGGAAGUUGCAAGAUCUAGAAUGGGAAUUUCUGUGUCACAAAGAAAGUAUGUUCUGGACUUGCUAGAGGAGACAGGAAUGAGUGGUUGCAGACCAAGUGAUACGCCCGUGGAUCCUAAUCAGAAGUUAGGAGAGGUUUCCGAUGGAGUUCCAGUUGAUAAAGGUAGAUAUCAACGUCUUGUAGGGAAACUCAUUUAUUUAUCUCACACAAGACCUGAUAUUGCCUUUGCCGUUAGUGCUGUAAGUCAAUAUAUGCACUCACCCUAUGUGGAACAUUUGGAGGCAGUUCACAAGAUUCUCAGGUACUUAAAGAGUACACCUGGAAGAGGGUUAUUAUUUAAGAAGAGUGAUCAAAGGAGUGUAGAAGUCUUCACAGAUGCAGACUGGGCAGGCUCAAUUUCAGAUAGAAGAUCAACAUCUGGUUACUGUACAUUCUUAUGGGGAAAUUUAAUUACUUGGCGAAGCAAAAAACAAAACGUGGUUGCCAGGAGUAGUACUGAAGCUGAGUUUAGGGCCAUGGCAAAUGGAGUUUGCGAGGUGUUAUGGAUUAAAAGAGUCCUUGGAGAACUGAAAUUAGAUAUUGAAGCACCUAUGAGACUGUUCUGUGAUAAUAAAUCAGCAAUAAGCAUUGCAAAUAAUCCUGUUCAGCAUGAUCGUACAAAGCACAUUGAGAUUGAUAGGCAUUUUAUUAAAGAAAAGCUGGAGAAUGGAGUUAUCUGUACGCCGUUCAUCCCUUCAAAGCAACAAACAGCAGAUGUUCUUACCGAGGGACACUUCAGGCCAAAGUUUGAAUCUUUCAUUGACAAGUUGGGCAUGAUUAAUAUCUAUGCACGCAGUCCUAUAAAUUAAUCCUAUUGUACUGGCUGUUAGAGGUACUUAAAAAUAAGAAAAGAUAUUUAUUCUUCUCCUCUGUUAACAAAUUUCAUUGGUUUUAUUGUUCUCAAUCUCUUUAUAUCUUUCUAAUUUUUAUACUAAGGUUAAGGAUGAUACCUUAUUCAAUGAAAUAAAUUUCUUUUUAUUCAAUUAAUUCCCUCCAUGUGUGUUUUAAUGUUUAUGGUUCUGUUUCAAAUGGUUAGUUGGAUAUUAUUAAAUCUGUUCACCAAUUUUGACAUGCAAUAUUGAUUGUUAGAAUUAAUAUUAUAAAUUUAUGCUUGGGUCUAUAAAAUUUAUAUGUUAUUACCUUUGAUUCCAUGUCUUUCAUAAAAUUGUUUGCACAACGUGCUUAGGAAGACUUUGACACUUUGUUAUUCAAUAUGCUUAUAUGGGAUGCUUAGAUAUCACACUAUUAAACAAGAAAAGAACCAAAACAAGAUUACUUUUAACUGAGCUUAAUUGUUUUAUCUAUGAGUAGACAUAGAUUGAUUUCAAGUUUUCUCUAAAAUUUGGAAUUAAUUGGUAAUUUAAUAUUUCUUGAAUUGAAUAGUAGUGGAUUCUGAAACCCCCGUAACUUCAAUCUCUUGAGUUCUCGUGUUAAUUUACUCGUUUAAUUUUAUUUGCAUCUUUAGUUUUAAUCUCUUCAAACAAAAUAUUUUCUCUUCUAACUAGGGUAGAAUUAUAAUUAGCUUAAGAUUAGAUUUGACUUCUCUAAAAUCAGCAAUUCCUAUGGGUUCAACCUCGUUAUUUCUAGUCCAUACUUCAAUAGACUCAUGCACUUGCGAGUACAUUAAAACUUGCACAACAGUGCUGUUAAGUUCAAUUAAACAAAGACUACAAUGCCACAAUUCUCUGUAUAUAAUUGGGCUAGUUGCUUGUGGAGUCUUCAUUUGUGGCUUAUGCCCAUCAAACAGAACAGUGCUUUUCCAAUAGUCUUUCUCAGAUAUUUUCUCAAAUGGAUUUAUUAAAAUUAUCGAAAGAUAUAAAGCGAUAGGGCCAAUUCUAACUUUAACUAAAACUUUCUCCAACUUAAAUAA